rnacentral:rRNA from 1 species
UGGGGAAUAUUGGACAAUGGGCGAAAGCCUGAUGCAGCCAUGCCGCGUGUAUGAAGAAGGCCUUCGGGUUGUAAAGUACUUUCAGCGGGGAGGAAGGCGAUAAGGUUAAUAACCUUGUCGAUUGACGUUACCCGCAGAAGAAGCACCGGCUAACUCCGUGCCAGCAGCCGCGGUAAUACGGAGGGAGCAAGCGUUAAUCGGAAUUACUGGGCGUAAAGCGCACGCAGGCGGUCUGUCAAGUCGGAUGUGAAAUCCCCGGGCUCAACCUGGGAACUGCAUUCGAAACUGGCAGGCUAGAGUCUUGUAGAGGGGGGUAGAAUUCCAGGUGUAGCGGUGAAAUGCGUAGAGAUCUGGAGGAAUACCGGUGGCGAAGGCGGCCCCCUGGACAAAGACUGACGCUCAGGUGCGAAAGCGUGGGGAGCAAACA